CUGCCGGACCCGACUGCUAUCAGAGUAGGACUAAGCCAUGCGAGUCAACAUAGCAAUAUGUGGCAUACGGCUCAGUAACACGUAGUCAACAUGCCCAGGGGACGUGGAUAACCUCGGGAAACUGAGGAUAAACCACGAUAAGUCACUACUUCUGGAAUGGGUAAUGACUCAAUCUACAUGGCCCCUGGAUUGGACUGCGGCCGAUCAGGCUGUUGGUGAGGUAAUGGCCCACCAAACCUGUAACCGGUACGGGCUCUGAGAGGAGGAGCCCGGAGAUGGGCACUGAGACAAGGGCCCAGGCCCUAUGGGGCGCAGCAGGCGCGAAACCUCUGCAAUAGGCGAAAGCCUGACAGGGUUACUCUGAGUGAUUUCCGUUAAGGAGAUCUUUUGGCACCUCUAAAAAUGGUGCAGAAUAAGGGGUGGGCAAGUCUGGUGUCAGCCGCCGCGGUAAUACCAGCACCCCGAGUGGUCGGGACGUUUAUUGGGCCUAAAGCAUCCGUAGCCGGUUCUACAAGUCUUCCGUUAAAUCCACCUGCUCAACAGAUGGGCUGCGGAAGAUACUAUAGAGCUAGGAGGCGGGAGAGGCAAGCGGUACUCGAUGGGUAGGGGUAAAAUCCGUUGAUCCAUUGAAGACCACCAGUGGCGAAGGCGGCUUGCCAGAACGCGCUCGACGGUGAGGGAUGAAAGCUGGGGGAGCAAACCGGAUUAGAUACCCGGGUAGUCCCAGCUGUAAACGAUGCAGACUCGGUGAUGAAUUGGCUUUAUGCCAAUUCAGUGCCGCAGGGAAGCCGUUAAGUUUGCCGCCUGGGGAGUACGGUCGCAAGACUGAAACUUAAAGGAAUUGGCGGG
rnacentral:rRNA from 1 species